rnacentral:rRNA from 1 species
AGUGAACGCUGGCGGUAGGCCUAACACAUGCAAGUCGAACGGCAGCACAGUAAGAGCUUGCUCUUACGGGUGGCGAGUGGCGGACGGGUGAGGAGUACAUCGGAAUCUACUUUUUCGUGGGGGAUAACGUAGGGAAACUUACGCUAAUACCGCAUACGACAUACGGGUGAAAGCAGGGGAUCUUCGGACUUUGCGCGAUUGAAUGAGCCGAUGUCGGAUUAGCUAGUUGGCGGGGUAAAGGCCCACCAAGGCGACGAUCCGUAGCUGGUCUGAGAGGAUGAUCAGCCACACUGGAACUGAGACACGGUCCAGACUCCUACGGGAGGCAGCAGUGGGGAAUAUUGGACAAUGGGCGCAAGCCUGAUCCAGCCAUACCGCGUGGGUGAAGAAGGCCUUCGGGUUGUAAAGCCCUUUUGUUGGGAAAGAAAAGCAGCAGGUUAAUACCCCGCUGUUCUGACGGUACCCAAAGAAUAAGCACCGGCUAACUUCGUG